UACGAAGGGGGCUAGCGUUGCUCGGAAUCACUGGGCGUAAAGCGCACGUAGGCGGAUUGUUAAGUCAGGGGUGAAAUCCUGGAGCUCAACUCCAGAACUGCCUUUGAUACUGGCGAUCUUGAGUCCGGGAGAGGUGAGUGGAACUGCGAGUGUAGAGGUGAAAUUCGUAGAUAUUCGCAAGAACACCAGUGGCGAAGGCGGCUCACUGGCCCGGUACUGACGCUGAGACGCGAAAGCGUGGGGAGCGAACCGG
rnacentral:rRNA from 1 species